rnacentral:rRNA from 1 species
GACGAACGCUGGCGGCGUGCUUAACACAUGCAAGUCGAACGGACAGGCCCUGCUUUUGUGGGGUGCUCGAGUGGCGAACGGGUGAGUAACACGUGAGUAACCUGCCCUUGACUUUGGGAUAACUUCAGGAAACUGGGGCUAAUACCGGAUAGGAGCUCCUGCUGCCUGGUGGGGGUUGGAAAGUUUGGGUGGUUGGGGAUGGACUCGCGGCGUCUCUGCUUGUUGGUGGGGUAGUGGCUUACCAAGGCUUUGACGGGUAGCCGGCCUGAGAGGGGAACCGGCCACAUCAGGACUGAGAUAAGGCCCAGACUCCAACGGGAGGCAGCAGUGGGGAAGAGAACACAGUGGGCGGGAGGCUGAUGCGGCAACGCCGUGUGCGGGAUGUGGGCCUGGGGGUUGGAAUGCAAUGUCGCCUGUGACGGGGCGUGAGUGACGGUAAUGGGUAAAGAAGCACCGGCUAACUACGUG